CAGACAUAGAACUCUCAGGAGUGAACAGGGGGGUAGUUACAGGACUGGCAUGGGGAUGCUCCAAUGGUAAAAAGUAUUCUAGCUGGUAGCUGUCGGUGCAGAAUGUAAACUAUCACUUCACAGAAUCAGCAAAUGGUUGAGGUUAGAAAGGAACUCUGGAGAUCAUCUGGUCCAAACCCCCAUCACCUGCUCCAGUUGCAUCCAUCUGGAUGGCAGUGACCAAGAGUCAUCCUUGCACAAAGGUGUUUGUAUGGAGCCGGUUCACCUUCACUCCCUAGAACUGGGCUCAGAUUUUUUGAGAAGUGAAUCCAUCCCAAUUAAAAGACCUCAGAGAA